rnacentral:sRNA from 1 species
GGGGUUGAUUCGUCCCCCAUGGCGUGAUCGGCGGGCAUAGAGGGGCAGUCAACCGGGCCAAACGGGCCGGAUGGCGAAGC